rnacentral:rRNA from 1 species
UACGUAGGGGCCUAGCGUUGUCCGGAUUUAUUGGGCGUAAAGAGCUCGUAGGCGGUUUGGUGAGUCGGGUGUGAAAUCUCCACGCUCAACGUGGAGGGGCCACCCGAUACUGCCAUGACUAGAGUCCGGUAGGGGAGUGUGGAAUUCCCGGUGUAGCGGUGAAAUGCGCAGAUAUCGGGGAGGAACACCGAUGGCGAAGGCAGGUCUCUGGGCCACUAGCUGACGCUGAGAAGCGAAAGCAUGGGGAGCGAACAGG